GAUGAAGAACGUAGCGAAAUGCGAUAAGUAGCGUGAAUUGCAGAAUUCAGUGAAUCAUCGAAUCUUUGAACGCACAUUGCGCCUUCUAGUAUUCUGGGAGGCAUGCCUGUUUGAGCGUCAUUAAACCUCUCUCAAGUAUGAUUACUUGGAUGUGAAGGAAGAGUACCUUAAACUUAAGGAGUGUUCUCCUUUGAAAUUGAUUAGCAGAUGGUAAUGUUAUUAAAUCCCUGAUGUUGUAAGAAAUAACAGUGGUUUUGUAGACUAUUAUCUAGCUUUAAAUUAUAAUUUUUAUUAUGGUUGACCUCAAAUCAGGUAAGGAUACCCGCUGAACUUAAGCAUAUCAAUAAGCGGAGGA
rnacentral:misc_RNA from 1 species